rnacentral:rRNA from 1 species
GACGAACGCUGGCGGCGUGCUUAACACAUGCAAGUCGAACGGAAAGGCCCUGCUUUUGUGGGGUGCUCGAGUGGCGAACGGGUGAGUAACACGUGAGUAACCUGCCCUUGACUUUGGGAUAACUUCAGGAAACUGGGGCUAAUACCGGAUAGGAGCUCCUGCUGCAUGGUGGGGGUUGGAAAGUUUCGGCGGUUGGGGAUGGACUCGCGGCUUAUCAGCUUGUUGGUGGGGUAGUGGCUUACCAAGGCUUUGACGGGUAGCCGGCCUGAGAGGGUGACCGGCCACAUGGGGACUGGGAUAGGGCCAAGAUUCCUACGGGGGGAAGAGGGGGGGAUUAUUGCACAAUGGGCGGAAGCCGGAUGCAGCAACGCGGGUGGCGGGAUGACGGCUUUCGGUUGUAAAACCGUUUCGGCCUUGAACGAGGCGUGAGUGACGGUAAUGGGUAAAGAAGCACCGGCUAACUACGUG